rnacentral:lncRNA from 1 species
UUCCUGUUGCUCCAUGAUUUCAGCAGAAUUUAGUGUCAGCAUACUAAAUUUUGGGCAUCCUAACAGGGCUAUGAUCUUGAAGAACAAGAACAAAGUAACAGAAACUGUUAAAAGAUCUGCUUCACUGAAGGCAACAAGACACAAAUUUCAGGAAGGGCCUAUAUCAGGAAGAAGGAACGGACGCACACCUCCCCAAGGAGCCCUGGCACUAACUACAACACACACAGGGUUUGGCCAGACCUGGACCAGCUUUUGGAAAACACUAACUCAACUGUCAUCCAACUUGCUGCAGUUAACCACCCGUCAGUCACCCAUCAGGGGGCAUGAAGCUCUGGUUUGAUCACUUUGCUAAGGGCUGCACAAGGAAGAAAAAAAGUCAUAAAACACUAUAUUGUCAAGCAGUACUCACUGCUUCUCCUCUUCACUGUCCUCUACCUUGAGUCCCUCAAAAUAUUUCACCUGCAUGACAUUUCUUCACUUGAGAUGCUGUUUGCCCUUUAAAUGGCAUCUUAGCAU